GUAGGUGGCAAGCGUUGUCCGGAAUUAUUGGGCGUAAAGCGCGCGCAGGCGGUUCUUUAAGUCUGAUGUGAAAGCCCACGGCUCAACCGUGGAGGGUCAUUGGAAACUGGAGAACUUGAGUACAGAAGAGGAAAGCGGAAUUCCACGUGUAGCGGUGAAAUGCGUAGAGAUGUGGAGGAACACCAGUGGCGAAGGCGGCUUUCUGGUCUGUAACUGACGCUGAGGCGCGAAAGCGUGGGGAGCAAACAGGAUUAGAUACCCUGGUAGUCCACGCCGUAAACGAUGAGUGCUAAGUGUACGGGGGUUUUCGCCCCCCUUAGUGCUGCAGCUAACGCAUUAAGCACUCGCCUGGGAGUACGGCCGCAAGGCUG
rnacentral:rRNA from 1 species